rnacentral:misc_RNA from 1 species
CAAAAUUAUUCAUCUCCGUCUUCAAAUUCCUCCAGUUUUUACUCGCGAACAAGCCAAUCAGAAUUAUACACGUGGCAAAGAACGAUUGACAGAUAAUAACGUCCAUAAAUUCUCUCAACGUAGAUUUUUUAAAGAAUUUUCUAAAAUAGAGAUCUGUUAAGGAAAACAGUAAACCAAACAAAGCGGAAGCAAUUAGCGUGCAUAUAAAUCCGAUCGCAUUGUGAUGGUAGGACGAAGCGUUGUUUGAUGAAUCUAUGGCUAGGAGGAGGGAGGAGAUGGUUACGAGGGUGAUAGAAUUCGCGAUGAGAGGGGUAAUUUUUUCGAGUUUCAUGAAGAGGGAGAACAGGACGUUGAAGGCUAAUUGACUUGAGGAAAUAAGAGAGAAUGUUGAAGCUGGGAGAUGUAAAAGACCAAUUGAAAAUAAACCACAGCCAAUUCCAACUAGAAAGCCAAGAAAUACGUAGAUAAAUAAUUUGGUCAUCAAAGAAGGAGAUUUUGAGUCUAAAUUAG